rnacentral:tRNA from 1 species
GGCGCCAUCGUCUAGUGGUUAGGACACCAGGUUUUCAUCCUGGCAACAGGGGUUCGAUUCCCCUUGGCGCUA